AACGAACGCUGGCGGCGGGCCUCAUACAUGCAAGUCGAGCGCAUGUGCCGCAAGGUACAUGAGCGGCGUACGGGUGAGUAACGGGUGGAUAAUCUGCCUCCGGGUGGGGGAUAACGGCUGGAAACGGCCGCUAAUACCGCAUACGGUGGCCGGCCUUCGGUUGGUCAAGAAAGGGCGUUCGACAGCCUCGCCGGACGAUGAGUCCGCCUCCGACUUAGCUAGUUGGU
rnacentral:rRNA from 1 species